UGACUUGACCAUUUUGGGCACGUC
rnacentral:siRNA from 1 species